ACUUCUCUCUCUCUCCCUUCCCUUUUCUGCCUGAGCGGAUUGUGGAGGAGCCUGUGCCUUGUCUGGAAUUAUUCAUCAGUUUGAGAUAGACACCAGGAUAGCAUUCAGCCUACGGAGAGUGUUCACACCACACCUGACCCCUCUCUCUCUCUUUCUCUCUCCCUCCUUCGCUUGAUGCCAGGCAGGGGAGGCAACGGAGAAGGGCGAUCCGAACGGCGCUCCCAUCCCCACACAACAAACGGAAUAGUGGUGGAUGGGAACAUUACGCAUUUCUCAUGGAAUCUGAAGGCGUGAACUGAACUCUGCCUCACUGUUCAUAUCCUCAUUUGAACUUGGCGCAGUGUGGUAUCAGCACGUAAAAUCUACGGGUGAGAGCAGCCACAGGUCACAGCUGGACUGCAGCUGGGGAAGCAUCUGGUGCCGCCAGUCUGGCGAUGAUGGGGAGGGUUCCUGGCACCGUGAUUUGGUGGACAAACAUAAACAAAAAUCACAUUGCCAGGGAUUUCCACCCCUUCAUUGCUUUCCAGGUGUGUGUGAGAGGAGGACACUCACUGUUGGCAUCGACGUGUCCUUCUCCCCGAGGCACAUCGCCACACACCCCUCGGACUCUCUUGGACGUCGGAGCAAGUGGCAUGACGAGGACAAAAAGGUUGCGCUGCUCUAAAUGAAUAUGGAGAAGGUCACACAUUUGGAGAUUCGAAAGAUACCAGGCUGAAGCUACGGUCCUAUAAACCCAAGCCCAAAUAGAUCUGUCAGCUGCCAAACACGCUUAUUUGCAUUAUAUGAGAAUUGAAUUUUACAGAUGUGAGAUUUGGGUAAAUAACAAAAUUUAAUCCGUAGGAGUACAGAAUGACUGUGAAAAAGGUCUGGUAUUUCUCAGCGACGGGUACUCCUCACUAGAUUUACUAUUGAAUGAGCGCAAGCUAUUAUGCUGUGCAGCAUAGUGUGGAGUUUAUGGAACAGGCAGCAAAGAUUGUGAUGAGUGCGCAAUGCCUUCCCUCCAUUCACAAAAUAUUACUUUAGCCAGCUCCACAUCACCACCCACAACCCAUCCACAAUCACACUCAACUGUACAGCAUAAGCAGCCGAUCUGUGCAUUACAGCUGGUGUAACACUCUCUCCCCAGUAUCUCUAUAGGUCACAAUACAUCCUAUAACAUCACUUGCUAAAGGCACAGAGCUUAGCUGAUUGGUGAGCAUUGAUCCCUAAAACAUACUGUUCACAGUGGCUAAGUUCAGUGCCUGAAGUGAAAUAGUUGAUAGGAUGUUAAGAGGCCCAGCUGGAGAGCCGUUCGCCUCAUUGUAAAAGAAGAAGGCAGAGUUAAUCACAGGGCUGCAUGAAGCCCACUCACUGAUGUGGGCUCGGCGUCAGCAGCGGCGGGCCGCGCACAUUUCUUAUAAAGACCCAAGGAAUGCUCUGCAAAUGUCAAGCCAGUUGCGGCAUGCAGUGGGCCCGUCCCCUUCAGUCAGUGCCCAGCCUUGAACGAGGCCAUUCAUUUAUGGGGAUAAAAAAGGACACGCCCCACUUUUCCUUUCUGGAGUGUGCAUGGCAUUCUCUGACUAAUGGAUCAAGCUUGAUGCACAGCAGCUUCAUUUUGUGAUGGAGUUGCCUAUUUCUGCUGCACCACCAGUCGCACAAAGACAGUUCAAGACAGAAUAAACAUGCGUAUGUUUUGUAUGCACA